GAAAAUUUGAAGUCAGCAUACAUAAAUUCUGAAAAAAUAUUUGACCUGAACACCAAAAUGUAGUAGUUGGCACUUAGGGUCCAUAUUCAGUACUUAUUAUCAUUGCAAAGAUGUUGCAUGUAAUGUGCAUAUUCAGUUAGUAUCUUCAAAAGAACUAGUACCACAAAGUUAAUGAAUACAUCAGGACAAUGUCAAAAAAAUUAGCAUUUCCAAAUUCAACACUGCAACACAAUCAAAUUCAACCUGAUAUCAGGAUCUUUCAGUGAU
rnacentral:misc_RNA from 1 species